UACAGAGGUCUCAAGCGUUGUUCGGAUUCAUUGGGCGUAAAGGGUGCGUAGGUGGCGCCGUAAGUCAGGUGUGAAAUCUCGGGGCUCAACCCCGAAACUGCACUUGAUACUGCGGUGCUCGAGUACUGGAGAGGAGAUUGGAAUUUACGGUGUAGCAGUGAAAUGCGUAGAUAUCGUAAGGAAGACCAGUGGCGAAGGCGAAUCUCUGGACAGUUACUG
rnacentral:rRNA from 1 species